UUUUCCCCAUGUCUCCCUGUUUUCCCUACAUGUCCCACACUGGCCUGCUCCCGCUAACUAAGGGGGCGUGGUGAUUAGUUACACACCGGAGUUCGUUCGCACUGAUUACUGGCCGGACAGUAUAAAACCACCCAGGUACGAAGAAGCGUUGUAAGCUCUGCCUGUUUAACCCCCUAGCGUGUCGGAUUUAGUCAUCAGGUAUGUUGCAAUACUCCCGUUUGCUGCCAGACUAAUAACAUGGUUUAAUCAAUGUUUGUCUUCACCUGUAGCUUCGUGGUCACCGGCUAGUCUGCUCCUGCUGCCCGUGUGUUAGACACCAUCCCUUAUUCAUUCUACAGCUGAACGUGGGUAGCGCGGCCUUUUCCAUCUACGCGGGGUGCAUAGCGUGGGUCGUGCUGCUGUCUUGUCUGUAGUUAUUUUAUUUUGGUGUAGCCUAAUUGUGUGCGGUUUUUCAAGUACGUUCUGUGUUUUUCUUUUUGUGGGCAUUAAUUUAGUGUCUACGUCUGCCUGUGUUUGGGUUUAUUUGGCGUUUAUGUCAGCCUGCAUGUUGCUUGCCGCAUUAGUAGAGAGGAACGGGGCAUAAGUGGCAUAUGCUUCAUCCUGGUAACUGCUUAGGUUCUGUCUGGUGCUGGCUGUCAUUUGCGUGUGUUUGUAUUUCUUUUGUCCUGGUGUGCCUGCAUUAUCUACCAUAACGUCUGUAUUGGCUGACUGUAUUUUUGCCCCCCCUUGUGGUGCUGUUUUAUUUGUUUGUUUGGCAGAUGUGGGGCCCUCUUUGAGGGAGGCUAGUCACCUGGUGGUGGGACCCUGUAGCUGCACAUUUGUGGUGUCAUUGUUGCUUGCGGUGGGCUGCUGUGUCACUGGUAAGUCACUUUCUUGCAGUGUGUAUGCACGUGUGAUGGCUGGAACUUAGAACACACCUCCAGUUAGUCUGUCUCCCUCAGGUAAGCCCCCAUCUGCUGUAUCUUUUUAGCUCCAGUGGAGCCUGGCCCCACUUUAGAAAUCACCUGUUCAUAUUGUAUCAUAAUAAAAGAACAAUAAUAAAUAUUUUUGUACUUUCAUAACCUCUGACUCGUUUCAGGUAUUA